UAUUAUACCUUCCAAACAAACCCUGCCAUUUCUUUUAUCUCCGCUCCUUCCAUCUCCGCCGUAUCAUGUCGGAAGCACCACCGUCUCAGACACCGCCUCAAGCCGCUGACGCGCCUCCGCCGCCAUACUGGUGCUAUCACUGCGAGAAGCGAGUUUCCGUCGAAACGCUCGCCAAUCUCCCCGACGUCGUCUGCGGAGAGUGCAAAAACGGCUUCGUGGAAACCAUCCCCACGCCGUCGCGCUCGCGCACCCCCUCCGCCUCCUCCGAUGACCCCUACUUUGGCUCGCAGUUCCUCCAGGUGCUUCGCCUAAUCGCGCAAUCUGCACGUGACGAUGACGCGUCGCCGCCGCCGCCGCCGAGCCGUUCUCCGGAGAACGAUUUCCUCAGGAUCGAGCUCGGCGGCUGGGAUAACGAUGAGGAGAACGAAAUCGAGAACGAUGACGAUAACGGCGACGAGGAGUUCGAGGAGCACGAGGAGGCGGAGGAUCGCUCCGGCAACGAGGAUCCGCAAGGAGAUGACGAGGAUCUGAGAAGGAGAAGGCGCGAGCUGCUUCGUCUUCGAAUUAGGGAUUUGGCGACGCGCACAAGGAGCAUGCGGAACCGGAUCUUGGAUUGGGCCGAAAUUCUGAUGGGCCUGGAGGACAAUUCAAUUGAGUUCCGCCUCAGGGUGCCGGAUUCCGACCGCUACGUCGGGAAUCCGGAGGAUUACGUCGACGCGGCGGAGUACGAGGCGUUGCUGCAGACGCUGGCGGAGACUGACGGCGGAGGCAGGAGAGGAGCGCCGCCGGCAUCGAAGUCGGCGGUGGAAGCCUUGCCGACGGUGAAGAUUGCGUCGGAGAGUGAAACUGUGGUGUGCGCUGUAUGUAAGGAUUUGCUGGGUGUUGGAGACGCCGCGAAGAGGUUACCGUGCGGGCAUCAGUAUCAUGGAGAUUGCAUUGUUCCUUGGUUGAGCUCUAGAAAUUCUUGCCCUGUUUGCAGGUUUGAGCUUCCAACGGAUGAUAGGGAAUAUGAGGAAGAGAGAGGGGUUAAUGCUGCUUCUUCGAAUUCCAACGGAGCUUCGAGUUCCGGUGGAGGUGGAAGGACCAUUGUUUGAUUCCGCUUGAGAUGUUGUUUAGGACUUGGGAGAGGGAAAGGAAGAGUGCAGAACAGAGCUUAAGGUAGCAUCCUGGCCAGGAAAGAGGAACACCAGAAAGGCACUGAACAUGACUGGAUUGAUGGGCAGGAAAACAUACGAGAUGAAACAGGAGAUUAAUUGUAUAAACAAGUUGUACCACUACUUUGGUGGAGAAUUUCGUGGUUCAGGAUAUUAUUUUUCCAUCUUUCUAGGAUGGAGCGAUGUCUAAAGACUGUGCUCCUAGCAUCUUUAGUUUUUCUUUUUUGACCCAAAAAAGGAACAGGCAGGGCUCUGAUAAGCUCUCUAGAUAGACAGAUAGCAUUUUGGAAAAGGAGAGGUUUGAAACUGUUUCUACCAUACUUUUUGUUCCUUUGCGACUCAUCAACAGUGUUUCUUUUGAUUAAUGACUUCA